rnacentral:rRNA from 1 species
GACAGAGGGUGCAAACGUUGUUCGGAAUUACUGGGCGUAAAGCGCGUGUAGGCGGCCCGGCAAGUCGGAUGUGAAAGCCCUGGGCUUAACCCAGGAAGUGCAUUCGAAACUCCCGGGCUUGAGUUCUGGAGAGGAAGGCGGAAUUCUCGGUGUAGAGGUGAAAUUCGUAGAUAUCGAGAGGAACACCGGUGGCGAAGGCGGCCUUCUGGACAGUGACUGACGCUGAGACGCGAAAGCGUGGGUAGCAAACAGG